rnacentral:rRNA from 1 species
UACAGAGGGUGCAAGCGUUAAUCGGAUUUACUGGGCGUAAAGCGUGAGUAGGUGGCUCGCCAAGUCGAUUGUGAAAGCCCUGGGCUCAACCUGGGAAUUGCAGUCGAUACUGGUGAACUAGAGUUCGGUAGAGGGUGACGGAAUUCCCGGUGUAGCGGUGAAAUGCGUAGAUAUCUGGAGGAACACCGGUGGCGAAGGCGGCAUCCUGGACCGGCAUUGACGCUGAGGCGCGAAAGCUAGGGGAGCAAACGGG